GGAAGUAAAAGUCCGUAACAAGGUUUCCGUAGGUGAACCUGCGGAAGGAUCAUUAAUGAGUUGUCAUGGGGUUCGAUGCUGGCAGCCAGUUUUUGGAUGCAUGUGCUUGCCCUAACAAUCAUCUUCUUCCAAACACCUGUGCACAUUUUUGAGGGAGUCUUGAGUUGGUUGCCGCUCUUGGGUGAUUUUCUCACAUUCCCUUAAAUCAUUAUACGCUAUUAACAAUGUUGAACGUGCUCUGUGCCGCAAGGCCAUUAAUAUAAUACAACUUUUAACAACGGAUCUCUUGGCUCUCGCAUCGAUGAAGAACGCAGU
rnacentral:misc_RNA from 1 species